GAAAAUACACAGAACAGCACUGUUGUUGAGGAGAGAGGAGGAGAGUGGGAGCACCAGAGAAGAGCUGGAGAGAGGCAUCGAUUCCCCCGAGUGAAAUGCCAACGAGGUGACAAUGGAGUUCACAGCACUACACAUACUUUGGCUGUUGCCAGUAUUCACUUUGACAACUCAAGAGCUGGUGGGACUAAGUGUGAGUCCCCAGGUUACUACAGACUGUGACCAACAGGUUACUCUAGAGUGC